rnacentral:rRNA from 1 species
GACGGGGGGGGCAAGUGUUCUUCGGAAUGACUGGGCGUAAAGGGCACGUAGGCGGUGAGUCGGGUUGAAAGUGAAAGUCGCCAAAAAGUGGCGGAAUGCUCUCGAAACCAAUUCACUUGAGUGAGACAGAGGAGUGUGGAAUUUCGUGUGUAGGGGUGAAAUCCGUAGAUCUACGAAGGAACGCCAAAAGCGAAGGCAGCUCUCUGGGUCCCGACCGACGCUGGGGUGCGAAAGCAUGGGGAGCGAACAGG